rnacentral:rRNA from 1 species
AGCGAACGCUGGCGGCAGGCCUAACACAUGCAAGUCGAACGGACCCUUCGGGGUUAGUGGCGGACGGGUGAGUAACACGUGGGAACGUGCCUUUAGGUUCGGAAUAGCUCCUGGAAACGGGUGGUAAUGCCGAAUGUGCCCUUCGGGGGAAAGAUUUAUCGCCUUUAGAGCGGCCCGCGUCUGAUUAGCUAGUUGGUGGGGUAAUGGCGCACCAAGGCUACGAUCAGUAGCUGGUCUGAGAGGAUGACCAGCCACAUUGGGACUGGGACACGGCCCAAACUCCUACGGGAGGCAGCAGUGGGGAAUCUUGCGCAAUGGGCGAAAGCCUGACGCAGCCAUGCCGCGUGGAUGAUGAAGGUCUUAGGAUUGUAAAAUCCUUUCACCGGUGAAGAUAAUGACUGUAGCCGGAGAAGAAGCCCCGGCUAACUUCGUGCCAGCCGCCGCAGUAACAC